CGCCUGUUUAUUAAAAACAUGGUUUUUUAGUAUUUUUAAAAAAUUGAGCCUGCCCAUUGAUUUUUUUUAAAGGCCGCAGUAUUUUGACUGUGCUAAGGUAGCAUAAUCAUUAGGUUUUUAAUUGAAAUCUAGAAUGAAUGGUUUGAUGAGAUAAAUUCUUUUUUAUUUUAAUAUUAAAAAUUUUAUUUUUUAGUUAAAAAGCUAAAAUUAUUAAAAGGGACGAGAAGACCCUAUAGAAUUUUAUAAUUUUAUUUAUUUAAUUAAAUUUAUUUUUUAUAAAUAAAUAAAUAAAUUAUUUUGUUGGGGUGAUAAUUAAAUUUGAUUAACUUUUUAUUUUUUAUUCAUUAAUACAUGUAUAAUUGAUCUUUUUUUAUUGAUUAGAAAAUUAAAUUACCUUAGGGAUAACAGCAUAAUUUUAUUAAUAAGUUCUUAUUUUUAAUAAUGUUUAUGACCUCGAUGUUGGAUUAAAUAAAAUUUUUAUAUGAAGAAAUAUAAAAAAUAAG
rnacentral:rRNA from 1 species